GUAAACACACGUUUCAUCUUGUUUUUCGUACAAAAACACACAGAGAUACACACACACACACACCAACCCCUCUCAA
rnacentral:sRNA from 1 species